rnacentral:rRNA from 1 species
UAGGGAAUCUUCGGCAAUGGGGGGAACCCUGACCGAGCAACGCCGCGUGAGUGAAGAAGGUUUUCGGAUCGUAAAGCUCUGUUGUUAAGGAAGAACGAGUGUGAGAAUGGAAAGUUCAUGCUGUGACGGUACUUAACCAGAAAGGGACGGCUAACUACGUGCCAGCAGCCUCGGUAAUACGUAGGUCCCGAGCGUUGUCCGGAUUUAUUGGGCGUAAAGCGAGCGCAGGCGGUUAGAAAAGUCUGAAGUGAAAGGCAGUGGCUCAACCGUAGUAGGCUUUGGAAACUGUUUAACUUGAGUGCAGAAGGGGAGGGUGGAAUUCCAUGUGUAGCGGUAAAAUGCGUAGAUAUAGGGAGGAAAACCGGUGGCGAAAGCGGCUCUCUGGUCUGUAACUGACGCGGAGGCUCGAAAGCGUGGGGAGCGAACAGG